ensembl:lncRNA
GUCCAGAGACCCGCGCCGCCCUCUUGUUUAUCUAAUCAACGUGCAGCGAGCUGGGGUCAGGGCUCAGCCUCACACGGUGCCAUGCACCCGUGAGCAGUGACUGCAGGUAUUCGGAAUUCCUACCGUGCGCCCGGAGAACCCUCAUCCCAAGUACCGCAGAUUCGAAAGCGGGGGAUGGCGCUCCCCGAGGCCUAGCAGACCUCGCAGUCCUCACAGCAAACCCUUCCUCACUCUGCAUAUCAUCACGGAGCAGAGCCUUCAGGCUCUCGGUGCUGACUCUGCAAUUCCUUCUAUCAGACCGUCUUAGACGUGGACAUAGACCCGCAUGAGACAGAGCCGCCGUGGCCGUGGAAUGCAGAGAAGAAAGAAGUGCAAUCAGUUAUUUACUAUCCCAGUUAGUAUGCGGCAGUUGAAAGUUUAAUGCACAGUCCCUUCAUCUAUUUGGGCUUUACUGAGACACCUGCACUGACUUCAGCAUCAGGAAUUCGAUUGUGUGUGUGCAUGCUAAGUCACUGCAGCUGUGCUGGACUCUUUGCAACCCUUUGGACUGUAGCCACCAGGCACCUCUGUCCAUGGGAUUCUCCAGCAGGAAGAAGAGACCAAAGUAUGCUCGUUCACCUCCUGUCUACCGUGUGUCCGUCCGGAAGCCAGCCUGCCCCUGAGGACUCUGCUCGGCCAGGGUUGAAAGCUGUGUCAAGGGAAACUGCUCAUCGCUGGAGAUGCCCAAGCUGUUCCCCAGCCUUCCCGCUGAACUUGAAGACAUCACUGUAUAACAUUGGAAACAAAAAACGUAAACUCAAGCCAUCAGGGGCAGGAAGAUGCCAGCUAAAAGAAGCAGGCCGGCUGUGUCUGAGGUCUUUUCAACUCUUGUGAAACUGUAACAAGAGCGAUGUAUCUAAUUUUGAGCCUUACAGAUGUGAGAAGAGGAUCCAAAAAUAAAAAGCUUUCCACUCCUACCCUCUCCCUAAAUGUAACAAAUAAACC